CCAACUUACUUUUUCAUAUUUUGUAGAUGUGAGGUCUUGCCAUAUUGCCUAGGCUGUUCUCAAAAUCCUGGACUGAAGCUACCCUCUCACCUCUGCCUCCCAAACUGGCAUUACAAGCAUGAGCCACUGCACCCAGCCCAAAAAAUAGUUUUAAAAAAUGACUAAUUGAAAUUAGUGUACUUUUUUGAGAAAAAAAACUUAAAGUGCAUAACUAAACAUACACAAAGAAAGAUUAUUCAAGAAUUAUAAUAGAACAAUUAAGUUUUUAUUGACUUUGACAUCAAUGGCAAGUAUACUUAAAUAUGCAUACCUCACUAUUGUCAAUAAACUACAUCAUCACAUUAUUAUCGACAAAAACAAUAGCAAGACAAGCAUCUUAAUGAAUGCAAAAUAUAAUACACUUUGUAGUUGUAUAUUUUUAUCAAAGUGUUCUCACAUUUAUUACUUUAUUCUCAUUUUAAAUUAAUGAAUUAUGUUAUGCCUUACAUAUAUUAACGUAACUAAAACUCUCAAAUGUCAAAAAAAAAACCCAAUUGAAUGUUAUCUACAGAGGUCUUUUACCAAUUUUUUUAACCUAAUUUUCAACUGUUGCUUGUUUAACCAUCUCCUGUUUCACUGUCUCUAUUUUUAUGUUUUAUUCUUUGAAAUACUUCUGCUAUCUUGGGGAAAUCUUUAUCCUUACCAUCAGGAUUCUUUUGCUUUUUCUUUCCUUCUCCCAUUGAACAGGUCACUUAAAGCCUUCCUCAGUAACUGUUGCAUAUCCUUCCUUGGGGGACAAAUUCCUGCUCUCUUUAAAAGUUUGUAGAUACCAGCAUUUUUGUUUUGUCUCAAUUUUUCUUAAACUUGUAAGGAUCUUUUAAAUUGCUCUUUGAAAUCCUUCAAAUUCAAUUUUACAAAAUCAAACUUCCUCUGAAAAUUUCUUUAGGAGAUUUUGUUACUAUUUUUGUUGAGCUUUAUUUUCUAUUCUUGCAUCUCCCUCACAACAUUCCCCUUCAUAGAUUCCCCUUCAUUGAAAUAUGUCCUCUUUUUAAUUUCCACCUUUUAAAAGGUGAGAUAUGAAGUAUGUCUCUCACAUGUUCUGGAUUCUAACUACUAAUUAUUAAAACACAGCCACAUUAAAAUGCAAAAUAGUUGCUGAUUAUUUAAGCCUACACUUCCUUCUUUCAGAAGUGGACAUGGGGACCAUCUUUUAAAGUUUGCGUUUGUUCCAGAGAGUGGUAGAGAGAUCACCGUCUAGUGUUAAUGCACCCUGCAGAAAGGAGGCAUUCAUGAUAAAUGCUAGGGACUAUGGCAAACACACCCUCCAGUGAUUCCCAAUGAGUCACACCCUUGUAUAAUCUUCUCUUGUGUGCAGAAGUGGGUGACUCACUUUUAACCAAAAGAAUGGGGGUAUAACUCCUUUGAGUAGGUUAUACUAUUAAUACAUGGAAGAUGUGAUAAGAUGCCACUGCUCCAAUUAUGUUUAUUAUAUAAGACAAUGUCUAACAGGCUGGUAGGAGAGAUUCUUCCACUGACUUUGAAAAAGUAAGCUGCCCCAUGUUGUGAGAGGUUUAUGGCAAGGACCUGUGAGUGACCUUUAAAGACAUCAGGGUGGCCUCUACCUGACAGACAGUAAGAAUAUGGGGCCUUCAUGGAUGAGGUGGGCUCACACAUGUAAUCCCAGCACUUUAAGAGGCUGAGGUGGGCGGAUCACCUGAGGUCAGGAGUUUGAGACCAGCCUGGCCAACAUGGCGAAACUCUGUCUUUACUAAACAUACAAAAAUUAUAUUUUUGUAUAAUUUUGUAUAAUUUGGGGUGUGGUGGUGGGCACCUGUAAUUCCAGCUACUUGGGAGGCUGAGGCAGGAGAAUAAUUUGAACCUGGGAAGUGGAGGUUGCAGUGAACCAAGAUUGCACGACUGUACUCCAGCCUGGGUGACAGAGCUAGACUCUGUCUCAAAAAAGAAAAAGGGGCCUUCAGUCAUAAAGCUGAAAGAAAUGAAUUCUGCCCACAACCUGAAUAAGCUUGCAAGCGGAUUCUUCCCCAAUUAACUCUCCAGAUGAGAAUGCAGCCCAGCUGACACUUUAAUUGCUGCCAUGUGAAACCCUGAUCUGAGGACACAGAAAACCUUUUCCCAGGCUCCUGACCCAAAAACACUGUGAGAUAAUAAAUGCAUUUUGUUUUAAGCCUUUAAGUUUAUGGUAGUUGCUUACAGAAAUAGAACACUAAUACAAGGAUUGCCACUCUUUUCCCUAAUGACAAUUUCCAAAAUAUUCAUAGACUUUCUUUCCUGUUAUUUUCAAUAUUUUAAUUUAUAUUUUUAUGAGUUUUUAAAUAUACUUUAAUUUGUUCUGUCUCUCAUCAAUAUUAACUUCUUUAUUUGGAACACAUUCAAGUAAUGGAAUUUGCUUAACUAAUAGAUUUUUUUUUUAAGUAUAGUACCUCUUGAAUUUUGUAAUGGGGCCAGAUUCUGUUAUUGAUUUUUUUGCGAAGUAAAUAGGCUAUUAACAUGCUUUUACACUUUCAAGGAAGUAUAAGUUGCUUCUUUGAAUUUUUAAAACUAGAAUCAUAAACUUUAAUUAAUGGCUUUAGCUCUGCACAUGUAUUAUAACAAUGAUCAUAAUGUUUUGCUGCAAGACGAAUUGUACUACUCAGGAUAUUUUCCAUAUUUCCCCAGUGUGUACUUUUCAUUCACUGUAUAACAUAGAGCAAAGAUAAUAAAGAUUUAAUACGGAAACAAGUUUAAAAUUAAUGUGUCUCUUAGGUAAUACAGGCUAUAUCUAUUCAUUCUAAUUUAUUUUAGGAUACCAGAAAUAUCAUAUUCCAUAUUUUUAUGUUUCACUACAACUGCUUCUUGAGUGAAGCAGGUAUAAAAAUGUAACUAUAUAGACUUAUCAAUAAUUGUUUGUUGCUAACAUAGAAAUAUCCUGAAGAUACUAUUUUCUGAAUUGUCAUUAAAAUGAGUGAGUCAGCAGUAGACAUGAAACCAAAGACUUCCCAAGAUGAUAACAUGUCUUAUUUUUGUGCUUCUUCAUUUAGCUUUUCCCUUUGCCCCUCUGCCAAAGCUAAAGUCUUCCUUAAUUUUGUGACGUUUCUACGAAACAGUGAUAUCAGUUUCUUCUUCAAAAUUAUUGAUUUUAUAAAAUCUUAGAACAUCGGUGUUGAAUCAAUUGGACUCCCUAUACAGGUUAUAAGAAUACAUAAUCUCAUCAGUACUAUGGCUCCUGUUGUUCAAGAUUUGUGCAUUUUCUAUUGAUAUGUUCAGUUGUGUAGUCAGACUCAGAAAUCAGAUCACUACUUCAUUUUUGAAGUCAUCUUGUAUGGGAAUUACCCAGUUAUGAAUUUCCCAGGAAAUUAUUUGUGGCAAAUGAUUGACUUGUAUCUUCCAGAGACUUUGCUUCCACUAUGGAUAUUGGUGCCUCUUGCAUGUCUCAUGAUGUUUGUCAUGGUCCAUACUGGGGGAUUCUGUGACUGACCAUGAAUGAAACAAUCAGUGUCAUUUUUACCUGCUUUAUUUUUUAAAAUUAGACUCUAUAUGAAUUACUAAACAUAUAUGAAUUACUAGACCUACUGUGAAAUAGCUAUGUUGUUCACUCUUUCACAUUAUAUUUUCUUACCAAGUUUUGGGAAUAGGCUAUAGAGAUGGAUCUUAAGAGAAAGUAAUGGUUGAACAGUAGUCAUCACAGUGUUAUAAACUUCUUUAAUGUCUUUAUGUGCUACAGUCACAAAUGAUAUUUGAACUUAAUCCAGAGCAAUUUCCAUCUUGUUCAACUGAGAAAAUGGUUCUUGUGGGAAUUCUUUUAACUGAUUCCACCUGCCACAGGGUAUUAGCAGAUUAGAGCAAACAUUGGGAGGUGCCCUGUGUCAUCUAAGUGAACAAUGACACAUUUGUUUGCUUUUCUACCAUCAAGGAUAUUUGAAGGUCGACUUUUGAACAGAGUGUUUUGUGAACAUAACAAUAGCCACAUACUUGUGUGGAAGUAAACAGAUACUUGACCAAAAGAAGGAUCUUUCAACCACAUAACUACAAAUGGGAAAGAAAGCCUAACAUGAGAGAUCUGCUUUUACAGCGUGCCCACUGCUUCACCCACCCCUAGACAUCUCCUGCUCAGAGAGGCUCUGUCUUAGAAAUACCCAGGAUCCCACUGGAGCUGUGAACACUGGUCAGCAAUCCUAUGCUAUAUCUGAUACAGGAGAAAAUCCAAAAAAGGAAGUGUUGAGAGAAGUGUUUUUUCUUUCCUCACCUCUGCAUUCUAUAAAGGACUGAAAUGUGCAGAUUUCUUGAUGCUGUUCCCACACUGAUAAAUGACAAUACAAUAGUGCUUAAAUCAUUAUUCCUGAAGUUUCUCAUCAUAAACUUUUCCCUCCACCGCAUGGUAGGGCUCUGCAGAAAUCAUACAACUGAGGAUUGCUUGGACCCAGGAGUUCAAGGCUGCAGUGAGCUGUGAUUGUACCAUUGUACCCCAGCCUGGGUGACAGAGUGAGAUGUUGUCUAAAAAAAAUCAUGUAACUGCCCUUAAUUUCCUUUUCUAUAAAAUGAAAAGAGUAAUAAGAGGCUCUUGCUCAUGUAAUAGAAUAUUUUAUACACAUUUAAGAAAUAGUCAUUUAAGAAAUGAACCCUAUGGGCAGACAGUUCUUAAGACCCAUAAAUAUCACAUUAUUCUUGAUACCCAUAAUAUUAAAUGAAAGAAAAUGAUUUUUCUUUUCACUUCUUGAAGAAAAAAGUAAUAAAAAAAAAAAAAGUUGAUAUGCCCUGACAAUGAUCAGAAGGCACUCAAAAAAAUUGGUCUCUGAGAAUUGGUAUUAGGGCAAAAAUAAAACAGACAAUUAAUGAGUGGGUAGUUUGUCAGAGGGUUGAGUAGGCAAUAUAAGUGCUAAUAUUAGAGGGAUGUGGCUAAUUCCAUGUGCCUCCAGAAAAAGGAAACUGCACUGGGGUUUGGUCAUUGAAGAAGAAACUGUUUUUAACAGUUGUGUCAUGCCUCAUUUUAUAGUUCAUUAAAAAAAAAAAAAAAGCUCUAAGACCAGCCUGGCCAGCAUGGUGAAACCUCGUCUCUACUAAAAAUACAAAAAUUAGCCUGGCAUGGUGGCAGGCGCCUGUAAUCCCAGCUACUCGGGAAGCUGAGGCAGGAGAAUCGCUUGAACCCGGGAGGCGGAGGUUGCAGCGAGCCGAGAUGGCGCCACUGCGCUCCAGCAAAAAAAAAAAAAAAUAGUAAAAUAAAAAUAAAUAAAUAAAACAAACCCUCAAGCUUAAAAUAAGUGAAGACUCCGGAAUAAAAAUCUCCAUAUGAAUAAGCAUUCAACCCUGUACAGAAACAAAAACCUUCAAUGACCUGAGUCCCAUCUUCUCGCUAAAGGAGAGUUUUCCAGAGGUCCGGCAGAGGAGAUGUGGCCAAGCUUCAUCUGGGCGCAGGUGCAGCCGCGCUUCCACAGGGAAAGAACAAUGUCUGGAGUGAGCCAGCACUGGUUUGGUGAACCCCAUGGCGACUGCCAGUCGUUUGCAGGCUUUUGUCUAUUCUUUGUGUACUGUUUGACUCAGCUUGAGCCAAAAUAAUCAGCAGCUAAAGCUGGAGCCUACCUUUUUGCAGAGAGCACAGUGUUUGAUGUUUCUGGACAUUUUUGCAACGUGUAACCCCUACCCUGAGCUCCUGCUGCCUUACUAGCACUUCCACAUGAAAGUACAAGACUCUAAAACGGUACCUUCUACACACUAUAUUCCCAUUUAUGAGGCAAGCAGACAACGUUUUCUGACAGCUGGCUGUCCAUCUGGUGUUUGAUGUGUGGCAGAAAAGCACCAUGGGGUAAUAAGGGAGAUGGAUGUUUUUCUGAGGUGGCAACUCAGUGUUCCUGACUGCAGACUCCCUUGGGCUUCCUGCCCUUCUGCCCUGCAUGCUGCCUCUUUGCACAGGAUGCUUUUGCGAGCUUCCGGCGGGGAGGAGCCAAGAUGGCCGAAUAGGAACAGCUCCAGUCUACAGCGCCCAGCGUGAGCGACGCAGAAGACGGGUGAUUUCUGCCAUUUCCAUCUGAGGUACCGGGUUCAUCUCACUAGGAAGUGCCAGAGAGUGGGCACAGCCAUCCUACAGGAAAUUUUGCUCACUCCUGAGCUAGAGAAAGGUCAGAAAGAGCAGCAGCAGAGUCAAGAGAAAGAAGACAUGGCCAGAAGUCACAGGACAUAAGGACAGCCUCUGUUUCACCCUCCCCAAGGCUGAAGUAGGUCUCCAUUUUGCCCUAUUUUCUAGAAGUAGACACAUGCUACAAAGGAAUAAUGAGCUUUACAGUUUGCAUUGAAUUUUAUACACUAUGGAGAAUGGGGGUUACAUAGCACAGAUCACAGAUUUUCAAAAUCUGCUAGUGAGGGCUGGGUGCAGUGUCUCACACCUGUAAUCCCAGCACUUUGGGAGGCCAAGGAGGGCAGAUUACCUGAGGUUCUGAGUUUGAGACCAGCCUAGCCAACAUGGUGAAACCCUGUCUCUACUAAAAAUACAAAAAUUAGCUGGGCAUGGUGGCGCACGUCUGUAAUCCCAGCUACUCUGGAGGUUGAGGCACAAUAGUCACUUGAACUCAGGAGGCAGAGGUUGCAGUGAACCGAGAUUGCACCACUGCACUCCAGCCUGGGAGACAGAGCAACACUCCAUCUUGGGGAUAAAAAAAAAAGGCUCUAAUCUGUUUUGUUUUUUUCCCUUUCUUCCAACUGGAUAAUUUAUAUUGGUCUAUCUUCAAGUUAAUUGCCUUUUCUCUGUCAUUGCCAUUCUGCUACUGAGCUCAUCUGGUGAAUUUUUUAUUUUAGUUCUUAUAUUUUUCAGUUCUAAAAUUUCCAUUUGGUUCUUUUUUUAAUGCUUUCUACUUCUUUGCUAAGAUCAUCUAUCCCUCUGUUCAUUUCAAGAGGCUUUACCUUUGUCUCAUAGAGACCAGUUAUAAAAGCUGCUUUAAAAUUUUUGUAUUGUAAUUCCAACAUUUGCAUAAACUUGGAUGUGAUGGUUAACACUGAAUGUCAACUUGAUUAGAUUGAAGGAUACAAAGUAUUGAUCCUGGGUGUGUCUGUAAGGGUGUUGUCAAAUUAACAUUUGAGUCAGUGGGCUGGGAAAGGCAGGCCCACCCUUAAUUUGGGUGGGCACAAUCUUAUCAGCUGCCAGCGCUGCUAGAAUAUAAGCAGGAAGAAAAGUAACCUCCCAGCCUACAUCUUUCUCCCAUGCUGGAUGUUUCCUGCCCUCAAACAUCAAACUCCAAGUUCCUCAGUUUUGGAACUCGGACUGGCUCUCCUUGCUCCUCAGCCUGAAGGUGGCCUGUUGUGGGACCUGUGAUCAUGUGAGUUAAUACUUAAUA
rnacentral:lncRNA from 1 species